rnacentral:ncRNA from 1 species
UGAAAGACUAUGACGGAGACAAGUAGCACCGGAAAGCCAUUUUAGGGAUAAAUGCCUUGACUGAAAGCAUUUUAUGGGACUGCCAGUGUGAAAUUUCAGCUCUCGAGUCGGCAUCGGGAUAAUCCAAGGGUUGAAUGAUGCAUCGGUGAAAAGCCGUUAUCUUUGUCAAGUGAGCGCCGUUAGCAUUGGCGCUAAUAAGGGUGGUACCGCGAUUACAUAAACCUCGUCCCUUUC